AAGAACGUUGGCGGCGUGGAUUAGGCAUGCAAGUCGAGCGAGAAGUUUUAAAAAGAUACUUCGGUUGAUUUUUAAAACGGACAGCGGCGAAAGGGAGAGUAACGAGUAGAUACGUACCCAAGGGUUCGGGAUAGCCAUGCGAAAGCGUGAGUAAUACCGAAUAAUGUCUCCGGACCAAAGAUUUAUCGCCCUUGGAGCGGUUUGCUUACUAUUAGCUUGUUGGUGGGGUAAAGGCCUACCAAGGCUUAGAUGGUUAGCGGGUGUGAGAGCAUGACCCGUCUCACUGGGACUGAGACACUGCCCAGACACCUACGGGUGGCUGCAGUCGAGAAUCUUCCGCAAUGGACGCAAGUCUGACGGAGCGACGCCGCGUGCUGGAUGAAGGCCCUCGGGUUGUAAACAGCUGUCGUAGGGGAGGAAAUUUUGACCGAUCCUAGGAGGAAGCACAGGCUAAGUUCGUGCCAGCAGCCGCGGUAAUACGAACUGUGCAAACGUUAUUCGGAAUCACUG
rnacentral:rRNA from 1 species